CCAAACUUGGUCAUUUAGAGGAAGUAAAAGUCGUAACAAGGUCUCCGUUGGUGAACCAGCGGAGGGAUCAUUACUGAGUCUCUGUACUCCCAAACCUUUGUGAACCUAUACCAAUGUUGCCUCGGCGUCACGCCCCGGGCGCGCUCCGGCGCGGCCCGGGCCCAGGCGUCCGCCGGGGGCCUCAAACCUUUGAAUUCCAGCGGACUUCUGAGUAAACAAAACAAAUAAGUUAAAACUUUCAGCAACGGAUCUCUUGGCUCUGGCAUCGAUGAAGAACGCAGC
rnacentral:misc_RNA from 1 species